GGGGCUGUACCUGGUUUUGACAGCAUAGGUUGUUGUGGGUAUAAGCAUGCAGUGCGUUGUGUUAUUAGCACUUUAAUCUGAAAGCUCAACAAACAAAAGGCGAAAAUACUUACGCCAUGGCUGCUUAAUUCAGAGAAUUAGCACCCAUUAUGGCCGGGAAUGCAGGUUGACCUGUUACCACGCUUCCCCGCCGAAUCAAACAAACAAAACGGGUUGCCACUACGGAAGGCUGUGACUGUAGUGUAAGACCAUACAGCUAAGGAAGUGAUUGGUUCGUCCGGCUCCGGCUGCUUCCCGACAAAUAAUUCCGGAAUAAGCAUGUAGAAGGCUUAUGGCAAAUAUGUUUGGACAGCGGUUCGACUCCGCUCAGCUCCAC
rnacentral:tmRNA from 1 species